GGAAAUCUCACCUGGCCCGGACACUGGAAGGAUUGACAGAUUGAUAGCUCUUUCUUGAUUUGGUGGGUGGUGGUGCAUGGCCGUUCUUAGUUGGUGGAGUGAUUUGUCUGGUUAAUUCCGAUAACGAACGAGACUCUGUCCUGCUAAAUAGUGUCCGCUUAGUCGCACAAGAUUUAGCAAUAACAGGUCUGUGAUGCCCACUUCUUAGAGGGACUAUCGGAUUCAAACCGAUGGAAGUGUGAGGCAAUAA
rnacentral:rRNA from 1 species